CAUUCACGUGACCUGUUGUAGCAGGUAGAUAGCUACCGGGUUGCAGGCCCUUUGUUUAAAUUGAAUGGCGCGGCAAACACAGUGGUGAGAGCACUGUUUUGCGUGUGGAUUUUUGGCCGGCGGUGAUUUAACAGAGCGGUACACUGCAGUCAUCCUGCCCGUUUGCUUCCCUGGGCUUUUGUGCAACAUUAUCUGCAGUUCGCUUGGAUUUGUUGGUUCCGAGCAAGAGGUCAGCCGACUAAAUGCGUGCAGUUGCGGGGGAUUUUAAAGAGGAACGACCUGUAGCCACUGUUUUUCCCACCACCAUUGAUUGUGUAGCCUAUCAUGUAUUGUGAUGCCUUACCUAAACCGACGAUAUAGUGGUAGCUCGUUUGUAUAGGUAUCCUAGCUCAUAUCGAUAGUAUAUCCAUACUGGUAUCUUAUUUGAUCUAAACCUAUCGAUAGUAUAUCCAUACUGGUAUCUUAUUUGAUCUAAACCUAUUGAUAGUCCAUCCACACUGGUAGCUUGAGGUCCUAUUGAUAGCCCACCCACACUGAUAGCUGUCGGUGAUCCAAACCUAGUCCAUUCAUACUG